rnacentral:sRNA from 2 species
UCACACAGUCAAAUUCAAAAAUAAUACUCUCCCGCAACGGAAUAACACCACCAUCAACCGUUGUUGGAUUUCGAUGUCGUUAUGCGCUAACAUCAUUAACACUGAAAAUCAGGAAGCUACCAGCUAACAAAUUGGCUUGAAUUCUUGAAUUGAUUACCUAGAUUCCCCAAACUAUUUGAAAAGCAGAUUGGGUACUUAGUUACCAUCGACAAAUUGUACUUGGAAGAGAUCCCAUGCUGUCUAGCAUUCCGUUAUCCCACAAUUUAUCGGUUCACCCCUCCACUUAUGUGCCGUUAAAUGAUAUUGAACAUCUUCGAUGAAUUAAUUCAUCUAGGAUAAUAUUGACUUAUAUGUAAUGUUUAAACGUGUGAAACAUGCUCCGAUUUAGGUCAGAAGCUGUUAAUAUAUGAUAACUUAUCGAAGGACCACAAAUCCCAUGAGCUUCAUUUUCUGUGUUACGCACUUUCCCUUCUCUCCACAUGCGUGCCUCGACUUUUUCCGAGAAAUAUUCCUCCGGCACAUAUUAAAUAAAUAGCCCUCUGAAAUACUAUUAGCUACCUCCAUAUUUGUGCUUUCCCUGAGUCUCCGAUGAUAUGCCCAGUCCGUAUUGCAGAUGACGUGCCGUUCUUUACCCUGUUCCACACAAAUGCAUUGUCGGCGAACCUCAAGCGCAUAGACACCGCUCCAGCAUCGUACCGGCGUGGUACGAAGCAGCAUACUUCGCCCAAGAUUCCUUGGGUGCAAGCUCAUGAUUAACUACGAACAGGUGGGACAUCUUCUUGUAAGAGGAGGUCGGAGUGGUUGCAUCUACUUCCCAUAAACCUCCUUUAUUUGUCCGUUCCUGGAUUCUAUUUCAAAACUUCAAUUAAAUCAAUACAGCAACGAUCUACUUAUACUACAUAUGACCCUCCCUAAUCAAUAUAUUUUUUGAGUGCAUGUUCAUCCCUCAUUGGAUAGCUACCUGUGUAGGUUGCUUCUCAAUAUCUACAUGGUUGACUCGAGGUUACACUAUAACCUCUUGAGCGUGCACCCUUAGGCACCAAUUUUCGUUCCUUAUAUCUUUUUUUCCAAAUUCCUAAUUCAUGCUUUCCACCUACCCUACCUCAAUAACAGUUAAGUAUUUGUUUUUCCUUUUUCGUUGAGCGUGCUAACCCGUAUUGCUCCUCUAAUGAACAUUUACUCGCAACCCCUCUUUGCUUAGAUAUAGCUCGUUUCACGGCUGGUCAAUUUCCCUUUUCGUGACCCUGUGUUUGCCGGACU